CCCGGCUUUCGUGAACGAAGCGCGGGACGGAAGGAUGCGAGUGCCCAGUGGGCCACUUUUGGUAAGCAGAACUGGCGCUGUGGGAUGAACCAAACGCCGAGUUACGGCGCCCGAUGCGAGAGGCUCACGAGACCCCAUAAAAGGUGUUGGUUGCUACUGACAGUGGGACGGUGACCAUGGAAGUCGGAAACCGCUAAGGAGUGUGUAACAACUCACCUGCCGAAGCAACUAGCCCUGAAAAUGGAUGGCGCUCCAGCGUCGAGCCCAUACUCGGCCGCCGCGGCAGGGCUCUCCGGAGUCGGGAGGCUUACGCCGCGGCGAGUAGGAGGGUCGCGGCGGCGAGCGUCGAAGGUGCCGGGCGCGAGCCCGCCUGGAGCCGCCGCCGGUGCAGAUCUUGGUGGUAGUAGCAAAUACUCAAGUGAGAACCUUGAGGACUGAGGUGGAGAAGGGUUCCAUGUGAACAGCAGUUGAACAUGGGUCAGUCGGUCCUAAGGGAUAGGAGAAAUCCGUUCCGAAGCGGGACGUUUCCGUAGUGUGCGAAACGUUCGAAAGUCCCGCCUUCGACCGAAAGGGAACGGGGUCAAUAUUCCCCGACCCGGACACGGAGAUGGGAUCCUCGGAUCCGAGUGCGGCGACGCAAACGAUCUCGGAGUCGUCGACGAGAGUCCCGGGGAGAGUUGUCUUUUCUUUGUAAGGAUCCGGGUCCCUGGAAUCGGCUCGUCCGGAGAUAGGGACGCCGCUUCCGUAAAGCACCGCGGCUCUUGCGGUGUCCGGAGCACUCUCGUCGGCCCUUGAAAAUCCGAGGGAGGGAGUGUGAUUUUCGUGCCGGCCCGUACCGAUAUCCGCAGCAGGU
rnacentral:rRNA from 1 species